GGCGUGCCUAAUACAUGCAAGUCGAGCGAACAGACGAGGAGCUUGCUCCUUUGACGUUAGCGGCGGACGGGUGAGUAACACGUGGAUAACCUACCUAUAAGACUGGGAUAACUUCGGGAAACCGGAGCUAAUACCGGAUAACAUGUUGAACCGCAUGGUUCAACAGUGAAAGACGGUCUUGCUGUCACUUAUAGAUGGAUCCGCGCCGCAUUAGCUAGUUGGUAAGGUAACGGCUUACCAAGGCAACGAUGCGUAGCCGACCUGAGAGGGUGAUCGGCCACACUGGAACUGAGACACGGUCCAGACUCCUACGGGAGGCAGCAGUAGGGAAUCUUCCGCAAUGGGCGAAAGCCUGACGGAGCAACGCCGCGUGAGUGAAGAAGGUCUUCGGAUCGUAAAACUCUGUUAUUAGGGAAGAACAAAUGUGUAAGUAACUAUGCACGUCUUGACGGUACCUAAUCAGAAAGCCACGGCUAACUACGUGCCAGCAGCCGCGGUAAUACGUAGGUGGCAAGCGUUAUCCGGAAUUAUUGGGCGUAAAGCGCGCGUAGGCGGUUUUUUAAGUCUGAUGUGAAAGCCCACGGCUCAACCGUGGAGGGUCAUUGGAAACUGGAAAACUUGAGUGCAGAAGAGGAAAGUGGAAUUCCAUGUGUAGCGGUGAAAUGCGCAGAGAUAUGGAGGAACACCAGUGGCGAAGGCGACUUUCUGGUCUGUAACUGACGCUGAUGUGCGAAAGCGUGGGGAUCAAACAGGAUUAGAUACCCUGGUAGUCCACGCCGUAAACGAUGAGUGCUAAGUGUUAGGGGGUUUCCGCCCCUUAGUGCUGCAGCUAACGCAUUAAGCACUCCGCCUGGGGAGUACGACCGCAAGGUUGAAACUCAAAGGAAUUGACGGGGACCCGUACAAGCGGUGGAGCAUGUGGUUUAAUUCGAAGCAACGCGAAGAACCUUACCAAAUCUUGACAUCCUCUGACCCCUCUAGAGAUAGAGUUUUCCCCUUCGGGGGACAGAGUGACAGGUGGUGCAUGGUUGUCGUCAGCUCGUGUCGUGAGAUGUUGGGUUAAGUCCCGCAACGAGCGCAACCCUUAAGCUUAGUUGCCAUCAUUAAGUUGGGCACUCUAAGUUGACUGCCGGUGACAAACCGGAGGAAGGUGGGGAUGACGUCAAAUCAUCAUGCCCCUUAUGAUUUGGGCUACACACGUGCUACAAUGGACAAUACAAAGGGUAGCGAAACCGCGAGGUCAAGCAAAUCCCAUAAAGUUGUUCUCAGUUCGGAUUGUAGUCUGCAACUCGACUACAUGAAGCUGGAAUCGCUAGUAAUCGUGGAUCAGCAUGCUACGGUGAAUACGUUCCCGGGUCUUGUACACACCGCCCGUCACACCACGAGAGUUUGUAACACCCGAAGCCGGUGGAGUAACCUUUUGGAGCUAGCCGUCGAAGGUGGGACAAAUGAUUGGGGUGAAGUC
rnacentral:rRNA from 1 species